rnacentral:rRNA from 1 species
UACGUAGGUGGCAAGCGUUAUCCGGAUUCACUGGGUUUAAAGGGUGCGUAGGUGGAUUGGAAAGUCAGUGGUGAAAUCUCCGGGCUUAACCCGGAAACUGCCAUUGAUACUAUCAAUCUUGAAUACCGUGGAGGUCAGCGGAAUAUGUCAUGUAGCGGUGAAAUGCAUAGAUAUGACAUAGAACACCAAUUGCGAAGGCAGCUGGCUACACGAAUAUUGACACUGAGGCACGAAAGCGUGGGGAUCAAACAGG